rnacentral:rRNA from 1 species
ACGCAGGGAGCAAGCGUUAUCCGGAUUUACUGGGUGUAAAGGGCGCGCAGGCGGGCCGGCAAGUUGGAAGUGAAAUCUAUGGGCUUAACCCAUAAACUGCUUUCAAAACUGCUGGUCUUGAGUGAUGGAGAGGCAGGCGGAAUUCCGUGUGUAGCGGUGAAAUGCGUAGAUAUACGGAGGAACACCAGUGGCGAAGGCGGCCUGCUGGACAUUAACUGACGCUGAGGCGCGAAAGCGUGGGGAGCAAACAG